CAUGGACAGACUCGUGUUCAGUCUCUGUGUGGCGCCUCACUCUGUAGAAGGAGACAAUCAUCGACCUGCUGCCAUUUUUAAUGACUUCUAAUACCUCGUGGGCUAUAGUAGAAGAGAGUAGAAUGAGGCCCCAUGAGUCUGCUGCGCCAAGAGAGUCCUGGAGAAGCAGAUUCAGACACAGCUGAACAAAGAUCACACAUGGGCACAGCUGCUACCUCAGACCCUUGGAUCACUGAGAGGACAUGUGGUCUUAUGCACUGGGUGCUGCUCUCCUACCAUGCAUGGCUGCAUUUGGAGCUGCAGCCAUGACUUUAAUAGUGUGUGUAGCGGGAUGACUGGAGACAAACUGAGCAUUUGGCGCUACAGUCAUGACUUGAAGGUGUGUGUAGCAGGGUGACUGGAUACACACGGAGCUUUUGGAGCUGCAGCGAUGACUUGAUGGUGUGUGACGUGGGAUGACUAGAGACGCAAUGCUCUAACUCCUGUGCACACUGACAGAAGCGGCCUCAGUCCUAUAGCUGUGUGACUGUGCCAGGCCAAGCUGGAUGACACUGAGAAUGCAAUGAAUCACCCAGGUGCUGAGUCAGGACUACAAGCUUCCAACUUUACAAAGUCAUCCAGGAAAUUAAAGCGUUUCUAACUUGGAGGCAGGAUUUAUUUUUAAUGUCAGCCUCUGAAAAAAGACUCUUGCUUUCAUGAACUGUUCUUUUGCUCUUGAAAGCUUUUCCCCACCUAUUAAAUGUUUUUACACUCAUGAAAAUGUAUUUAUGGAAAUAAAUUAAUGGUUGACAACA